rnacentral:tRNA from 1 species
GGUAUAGCUUAGUGGUAGAGUGUGUGCUUAGCAUGCAUGAGGUCCUGGGUUCAAUUCCCAGUACC